CAACACCAGCGACUAGAGAUUCUUCGCCCGCCUCUCCUGCUCUCAUCUCGGCGAACGCCGCCGUCACGCCCUCGCUUCUUUCACUCGCACGCACGCAUACACACCUGCAUAGUGUCGUUCCGGCAUAGGUGCGAGGCGUUGUAGAUACGCAGUGACCUCUUCCUGCCCCCGCCCGCCCCCUCUUCCGUCAGCGAGGAGAAAGCACUCGGGAGAGGGAAGGGGCGCACUGGCGCGGGCUCGUCUGAUCCUACACUGUCACUCCUCGUUCGACUCCCAUAGGGAGGGAUGUGCGCACCCGCAACGCAUCGGCCCCUCUCGCUCUCUUUCUUUUCACCCUUCGAUUGCCCCGACGCACGGGCUAUCCUCCGCAUACACUCACGCGUGCCCAUAUACUAGAGCCCCCUCCCCCUCUCCCCAUCCACCGUCACUACUUAGCCUCCGUGCCUCCUCGCGUGAGUGCAGUGGGUGGCGUCCAUCAUUGCCGUCGGUGCGGCGCGUCGCGCUCUUUCCGUGUGCGUGCGCGCGUGUGCAUCUUGUUUUCCGGGCACCGCCUCCAUCAUAGUUCUUACGUUUUAUUUUCAUCUCAUUGUGUGUGCAUGUGAGUGUGCCAUGCGCGUGUGCGUGUGUAUACAUCAACGUCUUCUUCGGCUCGUUGACCUCGCAUCCGCUUGUGCUUCCGCGGCUUGUGUUGCGCUGCGUCGUGUUGCGUUGUUGCAGAGUAUUCCGUGUUGUGCCUUCCACCUCUGUCGUGCGCUCAGUGUCUCGAGGUGCGUUGGUGGGAGAGCCGGCACGCACGCGUUGCCCAUGCGAUGCGGGUGAGCGUCCUCACCACUGCCACGACGACGAAACAGCAGUCCACCACAGUCCUCCCUCGACGUUAUAUUGACGUGCUGAGCUGCGGCGACGACGGCAGGGCUGUCGCCUUUCGUUCCAGAGUCCUCUCUGGCACCACGCGUUACCAGGUAACAGAUCAGGUACGCAGCGUGCACUUGGAAACAGCACCAUGACGGCGGAGAGGGUUCGGAGCGGUAGCGCGAGUCGCGCCCUCAACGGGAUGGGGCUCCCAGAGAGCAGCAGAGUCGCAGCGGCCCCGCAGCGACAGCGAGGGUCGCUUGCAGUGGUGUCUGUCCUGCCGCGUACAGACAGCAGUUCUCAGCAGCAGAUGAGGCCGGAGACGACAAGUCGCGACGGGGAGCCGGCACAUGGCAUGCUGCUGGGCAGCCUCACAGAGUACAGGCCGGUAUCUGCAGUCGCCUAUGCGAACUCGGCUGCGGCAGCGCGGACGUCCACCGGAGCCAGCGCCGCAGUGUCUUACCCCUCCGCCUCCGCUGCCCCCGCGCUACGCACCAGUAGCAGCCGCGACCACAGCGCCGGCUAUCCACUGGAGGCUCUGUCACUGUCCGCGCUGGGAAGUUCCGAGAACCUCUUCGAGCACAACACACCCGGGGCUCGUCAGAGCGGCGUGCGAGGCAGCGGCGCGCCGCCUCUGGCGCCGUUCCAGCAGCAGACCUCACUCGACGCCGGCCUGCAGGGUGGCGACGUCAUCGCCUCCCAGGACCUUCGCGGUAGCAAGCACUCGAUAGCGGUGCUGAAGGUGACGCCCGGCGGUAAGGCGCAGGAGUGCACGCGGCCACCGACAUCCGACUCCACCGCCCAAGGAGGCGGCGGCUGGAGCACGCCGGGAAUGCAUGCGGCACCGGUGCAGCCCCCGUGCAGGACAUCCUUCAACCAGGUAGGCAGCACCACCCAGCUUGGCUCAGCCAGCGCAGGCGUGCAGGUGGAAAAGAUCGCCCCCAUCGGCGAGACCUCCUUGUCAACCGCGCCCAGGGCCCACGCGGCGAUGCCGCAGGCUGUGGCUGCUGCCGAGCUCCGUCAGCGACCGCCGCGACGCAGCUCCACCUCCGCCAGCGCGGCUAUUGUCCAGUCAUCGCCCUGCGUAGCAACCACCACGGCUGCACCGAUGGCUGCGGCCAAGUCGACUCAGCCCGCGGCUUUUAUGCCGUCCUCGACGACGACCUCGUCGCCGGCCGCCUCCACGCAACACACUGGCUCCCGGUUGUCGUGGCAGUCCUCGCGCGGGACCCCUCGUAGCACGCACACCCCUGAACGGUCAACGACGGCGUUGGCAGCAGUGAGUACCGGCGCCGCGCUGCACCAUCGCUCCUCGUGCAACGGCGCGGUGCGCGAGGCCGGGGAGCCGCUGCUCAUCGGGCCCUCCACCCUGCAGGUGUCGACGACCACUCUCACCAAGACAACGAAGAAGGUGCGCUACCGGCUCCCGGACGAGCCCUUCGACCCCGACGCGCCGGACCCGUCCGACAUUGGCAGCCUGAGGGCAGAGGAAGAGGCAGCGCUGCUGGACCCGGUGAGCUACACCUGCGCCGUGGAUGAGGUGGCUGGCCGCUACCCGAUGCUGCUGCGCCGACCGAGCGCGCACGGCGGUGAUGUGCUGCAUGGUCGCCGCGGCUCCGCAAGCAGUCGGCUUGGCGAUGGUGCGCCGCGCCCAACGUUCCUCCUCGAUGACGGCAACCGCUGGGCGCGCGCGACGAACCGGCCUACAGUGGCGACGACGUGCGACCCGUCCGGGACGGCGACGACGCAACUGCCUGCCCCGCGUAUCCUGCAGAAGACCGGUGUAGCAGGCAAAACUGCGGUCCCCGACACGAGCAGUGAGCCUUUCCCCGCUCACCAACGUGUCGCAGCUGACGGCAGCACGACGCAGGCAUCCAGUGGGGAGGAGGCGGGUGGACACUUGCUCCAGCGCCACGUCCAGCAGAUAGCAAUAGGCAAGCAGCUCGUCAAGGGCACUGUUUUUCAACCCCCUUCGAUGGGGAAGCGGCACACGGAGCGGUGCCGACGAGAGCAAGACGAGGAUCGCAUGAACGCAGCUGCCGCUGCGCAACCCGCUCUCAAGGACAAGGGCAGCAGUGCAGGUGCCGCUCCACCAGAGCCGCGGCGCCGGCGGAGGGGCAACCUGGAAGGUCUCUAUGAUGAGAUACUGCGGCGAACUCAGCAGAACCGCCGCACCACCUUGCCUAACACCAUCCCGCCAGCCGCUGUCCCACCGCAGGCGCUGCCUCUCCAACCACCAGGGGCGGCAGCAACAGCAGCGCGGCCGACCACGGAGCGUCGCAGCUGGCGGCCGCACCUGCCCUCCGCAGAGCCGGCACCUCCCCAGCGCGGCUCCGGUGUUAACCCUGGCGUCGCGCCGCGCCUGCCCCACACCGCGCCACAGCCGUGGUCGUCCUCGCAGCCGUGCAUCCCCAUCUCCCAUGAUGAAGAGAUGCCAAGCGACAGCGAGAUGAGCAGUCAAAACGGGUACCGCACACCCCUCAUGUACUCAGCGACACAGCGCGAGCAGCAGGCACCGACGCCGCUGGCCAGGGCGGGAGCCGCGGCCACUGGUUGCGCAGGGCCUCGCCUCUCCAACUCCGUUCCUCACCCUAGCCCCGGUGUUCCACAGCCGCACCAGCAGCAGGUUGUGCCGCCGAGAGAGUCAUACUCUCUGGCGCGUGGUCCCCCUCCGUUGGCGGGAGGAGGGCGCCCGGUAGAGCCGAAGCAGCAGCUCGACAGCGUAUCGCCGCGUCUACAGCAGCAGCAGCAGCAAUGCCCUUCCCCACACGUAAGGCCAGGCUACGGCGUAGCGGCGGCGGCCUUGAGCACCGGUAGUCACAUGCCUGAGCACACGUCUGGUCGCUCUAGCAAGUACACGCGUGCCGUCUUCGCACCGCCACCACCAGCGCGAGCGCAGCCCUCUCAGCAUGCACUCUCCUCGUCUUCCUAUGGGAACAGCGCCUAUCGGCACGAUGAGGAAGACGACGAUAGGUACAAUCCUGCGCCGUCCGGCUCGCACUACCCUGCUGACGAGGCAUACGCCGCUGGCACACACACGCCGAGUGCCGCAGUGACCGCUUUCGGCAGGAACAGCGCCGGGGCGCCGGAGCAGCACACCUGUGCCACGCACGUGCACGGAGCGCCACAGAUAAACAACGGCACCGGCUCGUCGUCCCAGCAACGAAGUCGCGCGUGGCAGCACGCUGAAGAGAACCUGUCGCAACGCACGGAAGCCGUGCACAAGGAGAACCUGCGGGCUGAGGGGAUGGUGCGGUCGCACAACGAAGGCCGCUCUCAUCACCGCACGCACAGCUCGGCGCUGCCGCCGCCGCCCCACCCACCCCCAACCACCUCCGCUGCCGCAUCCUCCUCCACUGCACUGCGGACGCCAGCUGCGGCGGCCAACACGCCAGCACCGGCCCCCCACACGGUCUUCGUCACCUCACAGGCGGAGUACGACGAAGCCCUCAUGAGCACCAGCUCGUGUACCACGGACACGCAGCCGGUCGCCGUUUCGGAGUGCGGCGAGGACGAGAUGAUCAAUGACGAGAACGACGGCCUCGUGAAGAAAGGUCCCCCAGUGCUGGUCCUCGGAGACGAGGUGUUCGCACCGGACGGCUACGAGUACGUGAGAGAGGAUGACGAGUACGCAGAGUACGACGAGCAGUACAAUACAGAGAGCGAAGACAGCAGAGGUCACCACCAGGAGCUCGAGGAGGCACACUGAACCGGAGAGCAGCAGCAACGGCAGCAGCAAGAUCACCUUCGACGACGCCGAGGAGGAGCCGCGCGAUGCCACGAACGCAGAUGCCGGCAAUGUCGAAUAGGAUGUGCUGAAGGUGGGCCUGCUCCAUCUCUCACUUCCUUUCGCGAGACGGCUGCAGCGUGGGUGGGGGAGGAUAGUGUGCGCAUCGCCCUGCACCUCUGCAGCCGUCGUGUGUAUGUGUACAUCGAUGUGUGUGUUUAUGUAUGUAUCUACGUGUGUAUUUCUCUAGUGGCGCACACUCGCUCUUGCGAUAUCGGUCCACCCUCCACCGUGUCGGCCGCGCCUCCGCCGGUGAUGUGCGCUCUCUUUCCUUUUUUUUUCGCUGCCACGUCAGCGUCUUAGCGGCUGCGGCGCUCGCGUGUCUCCUCGUCGUCUUGCCGCUUCGUCGGCGCCUGGUGCGGCCGCGAUGCUCCCAUACCCGUCAUGCGCUCACAGGUACGGCGACAAGAGGCUGCCGCUCACCCGCCCCUUGCAUGCAGCUCUCGCACUGAGCGCGAAGAAGCGGAGCCGGGGCUUGGCGUGCUGCGCGGAUAACAGGAUGCGGCCCACGAGACAGAAAAAGCACGUGUGGUUGCCGUUGUUGCGGGCGCGUUCUUCCUCCGCAUGGCUCCCGACACGGUCCCUGCAGCGGUGGAGAAUGGCAUGCUACGAUGCAUCAGGGCACAUGUGUUGGCGCUGCGGGCCUGUCGCGUGCGCCUCACAUUCCAGCCCGCCUGUGGCCAUUGCGGGUUGGAGCACAAGGACGGAGUUGGCAAGGUUGCAAAAUCAGCACCGCAGAAGGAGGCGACGCCAGCUGCGUGGAUCGCAGACCUCGUCACCGGCCUUCGACGCCAGGUCCGACAUCCCCCGCAGCCGCGCUACACGCCGAGACAAGAGAUUCCCGGUGGUAGUCGUCCCACACCAGAUGAGCAAGGAUGCUGAGCUUACGAAACGGCCGGAGACCGUGCGCGCCCAGUCCCGCAGGGGCAGGUGUUCGCAUUUUGGAUUCCUGCAACGGCGGGUGAGAGGCGGCGGCAAGACGGAGUGCAGGUGGUGUGCUGCCUACUGCUAAGCUAGCAUUGUGGUGCCCCCCCCCUGCCCCCGCUUGUGCUUUUCGAUGAGGGCGGCAUGCCAGGCGUUGUGCCCAGUAUGCCACGCGAGACUCGCGGAUCGCUCGAGGCUCGAAGCACACCUCGCUGCACGCUAUGAUCUUGCAUGCUGUGACCUGAUUACGCACAUCUCGCUCGCACUGCAUGGGCUUCCCCCGUUGGGUGUCGAUGACCGCCCCCUCUCCCCGACCACCUCUGUGCCCUCAGUGCGACACACUAUGAGCUCUGUGUGCGCAGGUGCAUGCUUAUCCGCUGGCCCUCUUCUGCUUGACACACCCACUCCUGUCAGAGGCGUGCGGCUGCAGGGGAGGGCGGAAUGCCACCUGCCGCCACAGACUCACAGCAACGUCCCACCCGUCGCGGCACAUGCGGGCAAGCCGUCCAGACACACCCCUCCCCCCCCUGCAGACACCAGCGUCUCCGUGAAGCAGGCGCCAGGAUGCAGAGAAGGUGAGCACUGCGUGCACGCGCUGCCAAGCACAGUUUGCAUGGCGCAUCGCAUCUAAGCGACGCAUGCAGAGGUCAGUAGAGCGGGAGUGAUGGGCGGGAAAGGGCGCGGCAAGACACCAUACGAAUCAGCCCCCGCCACCGUGCAUGCGUGCGGGGAGCAUGCGGCAUCUCCCUACUUUCGACCAGGUGUGCACUAACGCGGCACAUAUGCCGGAAGCUUGAGGAGAGCACCCCGAGUUACGCCAUCGAGUCAUCAGGAGUCCACGAUGGAGAGUCCCUACACCGUAUUACGGGAUGCCGCUGCUUGAGGCGACUGAGGGAGAGAGGCAUGUCAUAUGCCGGCAGAGCACAGGGCCUCAGAGGGCCCUGACCUGAGGCUGGUUGUCUUCCUCCCUGAGCACAUCCGGCAUGCACCUAUAUCCACCCCCUCCUACCAGCGCAACAGAUGUCGCCGCUUUCCGCCCUCGAGCAGAACCCUGGAGGUGGUCCGCGAUGAUCGAAGCGUGCAGCUCACCUGUGUGCGUCUGGCGCCACUCGCACAACACGCAUCCGAAGAACGUACGCGGGUGUACAAGCCGAGCCCGAAAGACACGGGGCCGAGAUUCAGCAGCAGGACGGUUCGCCCCAGACGGCCAGGACUCAGCCGUGGUGCAGCAGAGUCAGGUGAGCUGUGGCUGUGUGUGACGCGUACACGGGGUUCGUGCUGGCACGUUCGCGGUGGCCGAAUGAAUACGGUGUGGAGCAGAAGCCUCUCACUUCUCUGUGCGUGGGAGAGGGGUGGGGGGGGGGGGGUACCGUUGCUGUGGGAAUGGGUCACUGGCUGCUGCGGAUGCUGCGGCUCGCAGCGCCGGUGUGACGCCUGCGACGGAUCAUACGCGCUUGCCCACACGUUCCCACCGCCCGCGCACGCGCGCUUUCCUUGCCGAUGCUACCUGCAUCGCUAUGCCCCGCCCUCGCUGCUUCCCCCUCGUUUUCGUUUCGCUUGUCCCGUUGGUGUUUGCGAUCUCACCGUCUCCGUGGAACACGUGCAUCCGGAUGACAGGUGGGGGAGGGGGUGCGCACACCUCAGCGCGUGGUGCCUCAGCGGCCAGUGCACGCCCACUCUCCGGCUGGAAGCCGAGCAGAGCCCCCCUCCACCCCCUCCUAUCCCCUCGCCGGCGCCGGGCCACUUCGCGUGGUGGCAGGGCCAGGGUGCCUAGGGCGUGAGAGGGGGAGGUCAGAGCGACCGGCGGCCGUGCACACGCUUGUACGAUCCAUAUGGGCGGGCGACGUGCCAGCGUGGCUGGAGCGUGUCUCCCCGACCUGGGCCCCCCUCACACCGCCUACGGCUGCUUGGCACCACGCGGAGAGGGGGGAGCGGGAGGGGGCCUGUGACAGGGCCGUGAGAGGGCGGCGUGGACUGGAACGCAUCUCGCAUGGCAGAGAGAUGAACCGACCGGAGGGAGAGAAGGCAAAAAGAGGCGUUCACACCUCUGCCACCGCUUCUCUGGAAGCCCAGUUCAGCUCACACGGAGGCUGAAGAAUCUCGAGAGGGAGAGCGAGGAGACGAGAAAGCCGCUGUCCACCGCUGGCGUUUCUUUCAUGGGCAUGCGCCCGUGUGUCCGUGCCUGCGUGCGUGUGUGGUAAGCAGCAGAAGAGGAACGUGCCCACGCGCAACAUCGAAAGCAACAGCCAAGAAGGCAUCCGCUGCGGCUCGCACGGACGCCGGGGCAGAUGGAUGAGGCGGUGCUUCAUGGCAAGGGCGAGGAUCCCCCUCAUGUGGCGGGCUGGGAUGGCCGUCGGGACGCGGUCGAGUGGUGGUGAACGGGGGCAAAUGGCCCCAGGGACCGCCAACGAUUGGAAGCUGCUGCUGCUGUGGCGGCGGCGGCGGCGUCCUCAAGCGUGGGUCCCCCUCUUUCCCCGCGCUUCUCACCAGGCCGACGACGCCGCCGCUCGCCCCCACCCCUCUGUUCCUCAGUCGCCACCUCCACAGUAUGUCGUGGUUAUGGGGCGCACGCAUCAAGAGGCGGAUCUACAACACGCCUCCUACUCUCACGUAUCCUCCCUCCAACUCUCUCGCUGCGCAUGUGGGCCACAUCAUCGUUGGCGUGGUGGCGCUGCUGCCCUAUACUCCUCUUUCUCACUGUGAUGCGCAACCCGCGCAAACAUACGCACGUGCACAG
rnacentral:misc_RNA from 1 species